AGGAAAACGUCUGUUCAGGGAGGCGAAACUGUGAAUCGCAUCAGCAACAGAGUAUUUGGUCUGUCCAGACACACAGGCCUCCAUAUCUUCUGGGCUUAGCUGAGUCUGUAAGAAGAGAGUGCCAUCUGGAGGUGAAGGGAGUGACGAGACACCAAGGCACAGCAAUGGAAAGAUGAAGCUAAUCGCACCCAUGCUCAUACACUCAUAUAUGUGUAUAUGUGUGUGUUCACGAUGUGUUCACAUUGAGACCAAACACUCGAUGCAUUUUGCAUGUCAUUUAAAACCAUCCUGAAAGCAAAUAUACGAACUUUUGCCUGGUUGUACCCUUGAAGAAUUUCUGUUUGCUCUUAAUUAAAAAAUAACUGCUGCUUUUCCCGCCCCCUCUGAACCAACAGGUUAGACUGCUUUUUAAUGGCAUGCUUCGAGCAAUCAAAAUGAACAAUAAAUUCCGCACUACCCAUAAGUAUAAUGCUUUCCUGUUCAAAAUACUCUUUCUUCAAGGGAACACCCGUACAUUUGUCACCAGAUGGUACUAGGAAUGUUAAGUGCUGGUAUAGCAGUCGCUCUCUGGGGCUUUUGCUGUCCUGGGGGCUCAUUGUGUGAAGGGCUGUACAUUUAAAAAGUAGACUUGGCUUCAAGGACUUAAAUAAUGAAAACUACAAACCACCACCUAACAAAUUAAAAAGGCAAGAGGAAGGGAGGAGUGUCACAACAUUAAUACUCGGAUGUCUUUGCGGCGGCUGGACGCGUGCGCAGCCUCGGCACGACCGGUAGCGCUCCCAGUGCUUCUUCAACCCUUUCACUGCAGCCAGUGCCGGGCAGGGCUGUGCUUACAGUGAUGUAAAUCAGCACUCGCUGCUGUUGCGCUACUGGAAGAGUCACGGCUCACCGUAAUAAUUCCUAUAAACUGACGGAGCAUAUUUAAGAGAACAACAGACCUCCUGUGCACGCCUGCAAGAAGAACGAAAGGCUACACCCUGCAAGUCUUGAUCCCAUCAGUAGUCAUUACUUGUCAGAGAUUUCACUCCUCUUGGCCAGAUUGCUCACAUGCAUAAUGGCUACUUAUGUGAUUAAGGGGGCUGCAGGAUAAGGCUCUACAUUAGAAUUAGAGUUAAUAAAAUAAUUUUUUAUUCACA